rnacentral:lncRNA from 1 species
AGAUUUGUGGAUCACAACUAAAUGACAGCUCUUGCUGGGGGUAGAGGAGGGUGCCCCAGUGUUCUCGAGACGGUGAACGACUGGAAUGUGGACAGAAAGAGGAAGGAAACUGUGGCCAUGGAGCCUCGUUUGCAUUUCGAGGGAAUAAGGCAACUGUAGGGGAAGGGGAACUAAGUGGAGCCCGGCAGAGACUUUAAAUGCCAUUCUCAGAGUCCAUGGCCUUCUUGGCUCUGACUAGAAAGUCUAUAGUUGAAAGUGG